rnacentral:rRNA from 1 species
AUGCAAGUCGAGCGGGAUUUCUUUUGGUAGCAAUACCGAAGGAAGUCUAGCGGCGAACGGGUGCUUAACACGUGGGCAACCUGCCGAGAAGUGGGGGAUAGCUCGCCGAAAGGCGAAUUAAUACCGCAUGUGAUUAGAGAGGACAUCCUUUCGAAAUUAAAGUCGGGGCAACCUGACGCUUUUUGUGGGGCCCGCGGCCUAUCAGCUAGUUGGUGAGGUAACGGCUCACCAAGGCUUUGACGGGUAGCUGGUCUGAGAGGACGACCAGCCACACUGGGACUGAGACACGGCCCAGACACCUACGGGUGGCAGCAGUCGAGAAUUUUUGACAAUGGGGGAAACCCUGAUCGAGCGACGCCGCGUGGAGGAUGAAGGUCUUCGGAUUGUAAACUCCUGUCAUUUGGGAACAAGGCGCGCGUAUUAACUGUGCACGCGUUAAUAGUACCAGAAGAGGAAGAGACGGCUAACUCUGUGCCAGCAGCCGCGGUAAUACAGAGGUCUCAAGCGUUGUUCGGAUUCAUUGGGCGUAAAGGGUGCGUAGGCGGCGCGGUAAGUCGGGUGUGAAAUCUCGGGGCUUAACUCCGAA